GGCGGACGGGUGAGUUAUGCCUGGGAAAUUGCCCUGAUGUGGGGGAUAACCAUAGGAAACGAUGGCUAAUACCGCAUAUAGCUUCGGCUCAAAGAGGGGGACCUUCGGGCCUAUCGCGUCAGGAUAUGCCCAGGUGGGAUUAGCUAGUUGGUGAGGUAAUGGCUCACCAAGGCGACGAUCCCUAGCUGGUCUGAGAGGAUGAUCAGCCACACUGGAACUGAGACACGGUCCAGACUCCUACGGGAGGCAGCAGUGGGGAAUAUUCCACAAUGGGCGCAAGCCUGAUGCAGCCUUGCCGCGUGUGUGAAGAAGGCCUUCGGGUUGUAAAGCACUUUCAGUCGUGAGGAAGGUGGUGUUGUUAAUAGCAGCAUCAUUUGACGUUAGCGACAGAAGAAGCACCGGCUACUCCGUGCCAGCAGCCGCGGUAAUACGGAGGGUGCGAGCGUAAAUCGGAAUUACUGGGCGUAAAGCGCAUGCAGGUGGUUUCUUAAGUCAGAUGUGAAAGCCCGGGGCUCAACCUCGGAAUAGAAUUUGAAACUGGAAGCUAGAGUACUGUAGAGGGCGGUAGAAUUUCAGGUGUAGCGGUGAAAAGCGUAGAGAUCUGAAGGAAUACCGGUGGCGAAGGCGGCCCC
rnacentral:rRNA from 1 species